rfam:Rhizobium sp. MH17 scaffold27, whole genome shotgun sequence.
CGGCGGGACACCUCUCCCCAACGAGAGGCUUUCUAUCUGGAAGGAUAGCCAUC